AAAGCGUGCGCAGGCGGCUUUGCAAGACAGAUGUGAAAUCCCCGGGCUCAACCUGGGAACUGCAUUUGUGACUGCAAGGCUAGAGUACGGUAGAGGGGGAUGGAAUUCCGCGUGUAGCAGUGAAAUGCGUAGAUAUGCGGAGGAACACCAAUGGCGAAGGCAAUCCCCUGGACCUGUACUGACGCUCAUGCACGAAAGCGUGGGGAGCAAACAGGAUUAGAUACCCUAGU
rnacentral:rRNA from 1 species